rnacentral:rRNA from 1 species
UACGUAGGUGGCAAGCGUUGUCCGGAAUUAUUGGGCGUAAAGCGCGCGCAGGCGGUCCUUUAAGUCUGAUGUGAAAGCCUACGGCUCAACCGUGGAGGGUCAUUGGAAACUGGGGGACUUGAGUGCAGAAGAGGAAAGCGGAAUUCCACGUGUAGCGGUGAAAUGCGUAGAGAUGUGGAGGAACACCAGUGGCGAAGGCGACUUUCUGGUCUGUAACUGACGCUGAGGCGCGAAAGCGUGGGGAGCAAACAGG